GUCCACCUGCAUGUCAUUAGGAGCCCAUAAAGGUUCUUCCAGUGGUGCCCCUUGACAGGGACGUUCAUCCAACUGUUCACCUCCUCAGUGCAAUGGCCAAAAGCUUUUCUACUUGGUAUCCAAUCAGGACGAUGAUGGGCAGUACACAAUCAAUCCUUAUUAAGGCUGAUGACUAUCCUCGAUACGCCCUGCGGGCGCGGGGCCGGGCCCGCUGCUCUCUCCCUCUCUCCCCGCCUCUCUCGCCGCCGCCCAACGGCUCCGCUGCGAGGCCGCGACGGCCGGGAGCAUGGACGGAGGGAAUGGACGCGGCCGCGGGGGUUGGGGGGGGGCCCGGCGCUGUCCACCGCCGCCUCUCAGCACCCCGCCGCGGGGCUGCCGGCCCUCAGCGGCGCCCCCGCUGCCGCCCGCCCGCUCCCGCUCCCACCGCCGCCGCCAUGGUGCGGCUCCAUGCAGGGCGCGCACCGCUGACAGGGGCGGGCCGGGCCG
rnacentral:lncRNA from 1 species